CAAUAGCGUAUAUUAAAGUUGUUGCAGUUAAAAAGCUCGUAGUUGGAUUUGUGGUUCGUCCCGCCGGCUGGGUCAUUGACUUUUGCUGUGCUGGUCGUCCAUCCUUGGGUGGAAUCUGUGUGGCAUUAGGUUGUCGCGCAGGGGAUGCCCAUCGUUUACUGUGAAAAAAUUAGAGUGUUCAAAGCAGGCUUAUGCCGUUGAAUAUAUUAGCAUGGAAUAAUGAUAUAGGACCUUGGUACUAUUUUGUUGGUUUGCGCAUCGAGGUAAUGAUUAAUAGGGACAGUUGGGGGUAUUCGUAUUCCAUUGUGAGAGGUGAAAUUCUUGGAUUUUUGGAAGACGAACUACUGCGAAAGCAUUUACCAAGGAUGUUUUCAUUAA
rnacentral:rRNA from 1 species